UUGGUCAGAAUCUACUGCAGUUAGAAACAAAGCUGACUCAUGACACAUCUAAAUUGAGUCUUUCCUUUCACAGAAGAAAGCCAGACAACAGACAGGGGAGCGGAGGAGGAGAACGAUAACUCUUGUGAAAAAGAAGGCGUGGGGACGAAGGCAGAGGAGGAGAGGAGCAUCAGUGCACCGCUGGUGUUGUCCCAGGAGAGGAUGGAGGAAGUGUGCAGGAGGCUCCACAGUCUGGAGGAACAACUAAAGAGACUACAGACUGUAGAAGAGGAGCACCACAGGCUGCAGGAGGCCCUUUCCAAGUUCUCACUGGAGGGGGGUCACUUCCAGUAAGACACCAUCACGCCACCUGCUGGCCACUAGAUUUCUACUGGUGCUGGUUUGGAGUGCGAGAGUGACUUUCAGAGGGUUCCCUGGAAAUUCCUAAACCCUCACAAGUCAUGCCUGGACCCUUUGCUGCAUUAGGGGGCUUUAUGCACAGUGCAGUGGUUCAGUGACGAACAUGGGAGGUGUGUGCAUGUGUAUGUGUGUCUGUUUGCGUGCAUGCUUGGUAGAAAGGUAUACAAAGACAAAAAAAACAAACAAAAAAAAACGGGACAUCCUACUUUUGAGUGGGAGGUUGUUUUUUGCAGAGAGGUGCCAAAAAAAAAAGGAAGAAGCAAUAUUUUGCUGUGAGAGAGAUGCUGCCUAACAAAAUGUAGUGAUUGCAAUCUGCUGUAACACACAUACGCACACCGGAGACAUGCACGCUAGAGAAUGAUUUACAUUAUUGCCAAUAGCAGACGUGCAGUAAAGGAGAAAUCCUAUGUUUGCCCGCCAGGUUCGCUCUAACCAGGUGGAAGCCUCAAGGGGCCAAUGUAGCGUUUGAAGAUGUAUGGAAAUACUACUGCUGAUAUAUAGUGUUAUUUCUAGUCUAUGCCAAAGCACCACGGAGAUGCACUUUUUUCUGAUCA